rnacentral:rRNA from 1 species
AACGAACGCUGGCGGCAUGCCUAACACAUGCAAGUCGAACGAGACCUUCGGGUCUAUUGGCGCACGGGUGCGUAACGCGUGGGAACCUGCCCUUAGGUUCGGAAUACCUCCCCGAAAGGGGUGCUAAUACCGGAUAAUGUCUUCGGACCAAGGAUUUAUCGCCUUUGGUUGGGCCCGCGUUGGAUUAGCUAGUUGGUAGGGUAAUAGCCUACCAAGGCGACGAUCCAUAGCUGGUCUGAGAGGAUGAUCAGCCACACUGGGACUGAGGAACGGCCCAGACUCCUACGGAAGGGAGGAGAGGGGAAUAGUGGAAAAUGGGGGAAAGCCUGAUGGAGCAAUGACGCGUGAGUGAUGAAGGCAUUAGGGUUGUAAAGCGCUUUUAACCGGGAUGAUAAUGACAGUACCGGGAGAAUAAGCUCCGGCUAACUCCGUG